rnacentral:rRNA from 1 species
GCGUCCCCAAGUCAGGUUG